AGACAGCAGUCGCCGCGGUAAUACGUAGGGUGCAAGCGUUAAUCGGAAUUACUGGGCGUAAAGCGUGCGCAGGCGGUUCUAUAAGACAGAUGUGAAAUCCCCGGGCUCAACCUGGGAACUGCAUUUGUGACUGUAGAGCUGGAGUGCGGCAGAGGGGGAUGGAAUUCCGCGUGUAGCAGUGAAAUGCGUAGAUAUGCGGAGGAACACCGAUGGCGAAGGCAAUCCCCUGGGCCUGCACUGACGCUCGUGCACGAAAGCGUGGGGAGCAAACAGGAUUAGAUACCCGAGUAGUCCCUGUCUCUUAUAC
rnacentral:rRNA from 1 species